UGAGGAAUCUUGCACACUGGCCGCAAGGCUGAUGCAGCGACGCCGCGUGGGCGAGGACGGUCUUCGGAUUGUAAAGCCCUUUUCGGCGUGACGAGACAAGGACGGUAGCGCCGGAAGAAGCGUCGGCUAACUACGUGCCAGCAGCCGCGGUAAAACGUAGGACGCAAGCGUUAUCCGGAGUGACUGGGCGCAAAGGGCGUGCAGGCGGCGGCUCAAGCGGCGCGUGAAAGCCCCCGGCUGCACCGGGGG
rnacentral:rRNA from 1 species